rnacentral:rRNA from 1 species
UGGAUGAUGUGGUUUAAUUCGAUGCAACGCGAAAACCUUACCACCUUUGACAUGUACGGAACCCUUUAGAGAUAGAGGGGUGCUCGAAAGAGAGCCGUAACACAGGUGCUGCAUGGCUGUCGUCAGCUCGUGUCGUGAGAUGUUGGGUUAAGUCCCGCAACGAGCGCAACCCUUGUCAUUAGUUGCUACAUUCAGUUGGGCACUCUAAUGAGACUGCCGGUGACAAGCCGGAGGAAGGUGGGGAUGACGUCAAGUCCUCAUGGCCCUUAUAGGUGGGGCUACACACGUCAUACAAUGGCUGGUACAAAGGGUUGCCAACCCGCGAGGGGGAGCCAAUCCCAUAAAGCCAGUCGUAGUCCGGAUCGUAGUCUGCAACUCGACUACGUGAAGUCGGAAUCGCUAGUAAUCGUGGAUCAGAAUGUCACGGUGAAUACGUUCCCGGGUCUU